UACGUAGGGUGCGAGCGUUGUCCGGAUUUAUUGGGCGUAAAGAGCUCGUAGGCGGUUUGUCGCGUCGGCCGUGAAAUCUCCACGCUUAACGUGGAGCGUGCGGUCGAUACGGGCAGACUUGAGUUCGGUAGGGGAGACUGGAAUUCCUGGUGUAGCGGUGAAAUGCGCAGAUAUCAGGAGGAACACCGGUGGCGAAGGCAGCUCGCUGGGACGGUACUGACGCUGAGACGCGAAAGCGUGGGGAGCGAACAGG
rnacentral:rRNA from 1 species